rnacentral:rRNA from 1 species
UACGUAGGGGGCGAGCGUUGUCCGGAUUUAUUGGGCGUAAAGAGCGUGUAGGCGGCCAGGUAAGUCCGUUGUGAAAACUCGAGGCUUAACCUCGAGAUGUCAUCGGAAACCAUUUGGCUAGAGUCCGGAAGAGGAGAGUGGAAUUCCUGGUGUAGCGGUGAAAUGCGCAGAUAUCAGGAAGAACACCAAUGGCGAAAGCAGCUCUCUGGGACGGUACUGACGCUGAGACGCGAAAGCGUGGGGAGCGAACAGG